rnacentral:rRNA from 1 species
UACGUAGGGGGCAAGCGUUGUCCGGAAUCAUUGGGCGUAAAGCGCGUGUAGGCGGUGUGUCGCGUCGGUCGUGAAAACUUGGGGCUUAACCCUGAGCUUGCGGUCGAUACGGGCAUCACUGGAGUUCGGCAGGGGAGACUGGAAUUCCUGGUGUAGCGGUGGAAUGCGCAGAUAUCAGGAGGAACACCGAUGGCGAAGGCAGAUCUCUGGGCCGUAACUGACGCUGAGGAGCGAAAGCAUGGGGAGCGAACAGG